rnacentral:tRNA from 1 species
GGCGCCGUGGCUUAGUUGGUUAAAGCGCCUGUCUUGUAAACAGGAGAUCACGAGUUCGAAUCUCGUCAGCGCCU